GCCCGGGUGGCUCAGUGGGUUGAGUGUCCGACUUCGGCUCAGGUCAUGAUCUCAAGGUUUGUGGGUUCGAGCCCCACGUCGGGCU
rfam:Felis catus isolate Cinnamon breed Abyssinian chromosome X, whole genome shotgun sequence.